GACGAACGCUGGCGGCGUGCCUAAUACAUGCAAGUAGAACGCAGUUGCGAACGGGUGAGUAACGUGUAGGUAACUGCCUCAUAGCGGGGGAAAACUAUUGGAAACGAUAGCUAAUACCGCAUACUGUGAGAGGGACCUGCGUUGUAUUAGCUAGUUGGUGAGGUAAAGGCUCACCAAGGCGGCGAUACAUAGCCGACCUGAGGGGGGUAUCGGGCCCACUUGUACUUGGGCACGGCCCCGACCCCUUCCGGGGGCAGCAGUUGGGAAUCUUCGGCCAUUGACGGAAGUCUGACCGAGCCACGCCGCGUGAGUGGAGAAGGUUUUCCGGUCGUAAAGCUCUGUUGUUAGGGAAGCGGUACCUACCCAGAAAGGGACGGCUAACUCCGUGCCAGCAGCCGCGGUAAUUC
rnacentral:rRNA from 1 species